rnacentral:piRNA from 1 species
AAUGGAUAAGUAAACUGUAGAGAACUGG